GGCGAGAUAGCUCAGUUGGUUAGAGCGUUGGAUUCAUAACCCAAAGGUCCCGAGUUCAACUCUCGGUCUCGCUACUA
rnacentral:tRNA from 1 species